rnacentral:rRNA from 1 species
CCUACGGGAGGCAGCAGUGAGGAAUAUUGGUCAAUGGGCGAGAGCCUGAACCAGCCAAGUCGCGUGAAGGAUGACGGCCCUACGGGUUGUAAACUUCUUUUGUCAGGGAGCAAUUGGGUCCACGCGUGGGCUUAGCGAGAGUACCUGAAGAAAAAGCAUCGGCUACCUCCGUGCCAGCAGCCGCGGUAAUACGGAGUAUGCGAGCGUUAUACGGAUUUAUUGGGUUUAAAGGGUGCUUAGGCGGAAUAUCAAGGCAGCGGUAAAAAGUCGGGGCUCAACCCCGUCGUGCCGUUGAAACUGAUGUUCUUGAGUGGUGUAGAAGGAUGCGGAAUGCGUGGUGUAGCGGUGAAAUGCAUAGAGAUCACGCAGAACUCCGAUUGCGAAGGCAGCAUACCGGCGACCAACUGACGCUGAAGCACGAAAGCGUGGGUAUCGAACAGGAUUAGAUACCCUUGUAGUC